UGGCCCUUCGCCUACUUCUUGCAGUGCCACUCCUGCGAGACUGCAGACUGCCGGCCUGCACUGCCGCUGUAGAUGGGCAAUGGAAGUGUCGAGAACUGCCCCAGGCUGAGCAGGCUGAGCUGACA
rnacentral:SRP_RNA from 8 species